UGAAGGCCUCUGGGUUGUAAACUUCUUUUAUCUGGGACGAAAAACAGGAAUUCUUUCUUGCUCGACGGUACCAGAGGAAUAAGCACCGGCUAACUCCCGUGC
rnacentral:rRNA from 1 species